rnacentral:rRNA from 1 species
UACGGAGGGCGCAAGCGUUGUCCGGAAUUAUUGGGCGUAAAGAGCUCGUAGGCGGCUUGUCACGUCGGUUGUGAAAGCCCGGGGCUUAACCCCGGGUCUGCAGUCGAUACGGGCAGGCUAGAGUGUGGUAGGGGAGAUCGGAAUUCCUGGUGUAGCGGUGAAAUGCGCAGAUAUCAGGAGGAACACCGGUGGCGAAGGCGGAUCUCUGGGCCAUUACGGACGCUGCGGAGCGAAAGCGUGGGGAGCGAACAGG